rnacentral:rRNA from 2 species
UUGAGGGGUUAAGGCUCCCAGUAGACGACUGGGUUGAUAGGCCAGAUGUGGAAGCCCUGUGAGGGGUGGAGCUGACUGGUACUAAUAGGCCGAGGGCUUGUCCUCAGUUG